AUAUUGGUCAAUGGACGCAAGUCUGAACCAGCCAUGCCGCGUGCAGGAUGAAGGUGCUAUGCAUUGUAAACUGCUUUUGUACGAGGGUAAAUGCAGGUACGUGUACCUGUUUGAAAGUAUCGUACGAAUAAGGGUCGGCUAACUCCGUGCCAGCAGCCGCGGUAAUACGGAGGACCCGAGCGUUAUCCGGAUUUAUUGGGUUUAAAGGGUGCGUAGGCGGAUUAGUAAGUUAGAGGUGAAAGCUCGAUGCUCAACAUCGAAAUUGCCUCUGAUACUGUUAGUCUAGAGUAUAGUUGCGGAAGGCGGAAUGUGUGGUGUAGCGGUGAAAUGCUUAGAUAUCACACAGAACACCGAUUGCGAAGGCAGCUUUCCAAGCUAUUACUGACGCUGAUGCACGAAAGCGUGGGGAGCGAACAGGAUUAGAUACCCUGGUAGUCCACGCCGUAAACGAUGAUAACUCGUUGCAGGCGAUACACAGUCUGUGACUUAGCGAAAGCGUUAAGUUAUCCACCUGGGGAGUACGUUCGCAAGAAUGAAACUCAAAGGAAUUGACGGGGGCCCGCACAAGCGGAGGAACAUGUGGUUUAAUUCGAUGAUACGCGAGGAACCUUACCCGGGCUUGAAAGUUAGCGACGGAUCCUGAAAGGGGUCUUCUCUUCGGAGCGCGAAACUAGGUGCUGCAUGGUUGUCGUCAGCUCGUGCCGUGAGGUGUCGGGUUAAGUCCCAUAACGAGCGCAACCCCUACUGUUAGUUACCAGCACGUCAAGGUGGGCACUCUAGCAGGACUGCCGGUGUAAGCCGAGAGGAAGGUGGGGAUGACGUCAAAUCAGCACGGCCCUUACGUCCGGGGCGACACACGUGUUACAAUGGCGUGGAACAGAGGGAAGCCACCUGGCGACAGGGAGCGGAACCCGAAAACACGUCUCAGUUCGGAUUGGAGUCUGCAACUCGACUCCAUGAAGCUGGAUUCGCUAGUAAUCGCGCAUCAGCCAUGGCGCGGUGAAUACGUUCCCGGGCCUUGUACACACCGCCCGUCAAGCCAUGAAAGCCGGGGGCGCCUAAAGUCCGUGACCGUAAGGAGCGGCCUAGGGCGAAACUGGUAAUUGGGGCUAAGUCGUAACAAGGUAGCCGUACCGGAAGGUGCGGCUG
rnacentral:rRNA from 1 species